rnacentral:misc_RNA from 1 species
CUAUAUUUUCUGGGUUUCUGUUUAUUUACCCUUUUCUUUUCUUCUUCGUUGUAUAUAUUUUCUUUUUGGUCUCUUGAAAUUUUCCAAUAAUUCCUUUUUGAUUUGCCACCAAUUAUGCAAGCAACUCAAGCACCCAACAAUGGAGUUGCAGAGAUUCCUUCACAGGGUGUUCUAAAACGCAUGGAACCCUCCAACGAAGAAGUUUCAACUCCAGAACCAGGAGGAAGACGCUUGGAUCUUUCAGUUCAGAUACCCCC